rnacentral:rRNA from 1 species
GUGCCAGCCGCCGCGGUAAUACCGGCAGCCCAAGUGAUGACCGAUCUUAUUGGGCCUAAAGCGUCCGUAGCUGGCUACGCAAGUCCAUCGGAAAAUCCACCCGCCCAACGGGUGGGCGUCCGGUGGAAACUGCGUGGCUUGGGACCGGAAGGCGCGACGGGUACGUCCGGGGUAGGAGUGAAAUCCCGUAAUCCUGGACGGACUACCGAUGGCGAAAGCACUCUGAGAAGACGGAUCCGACAGUGAGGGACGAAAGCUCGGGUCUCAAACCGGAUUAGAUACCCGUGUAGUC